rnacentral:piRNA from 1 species
UGCAUUCUUUUUAAAAUUUCU